CCUCCCUAUGAAUUGAGUGCUAUUGAGUCAAGCAGUUCCAGAAGUAAAGUGCAUUUGCGGAGAGCAAAUGAUUAAGCAAAAAGUAUUCAUAUUCUGUCACGUUCAACAACUUCAUUCUAGCACAUUCUCUCCACAUCCUAAAACUUUAUUAAACUGCAAACAGUUAAGAAAAAACACCAUACAAAAUACAACUGGUAAAACUUAUGGCUAUACACACAACCAUUAGUUAUUUUGAUAGAGCACACAAUCACAGAUCAAUACAAUGUUAAAGGCCUUUUCAGUAGUACAAAAAUAUUAGAAACCUUUACAAUUAUCACAUAGAAAAACUUUUUUUAUGGAAAAACUUUUUUUUUAAACGGCAGUGGUUAGACAGAAUGAUGCUCCUCCAUUCUGCUCACCUCUUUCACUCUCAUUUUCUUUCUUUCCAUUCCCUUCUCCCCUCUCCAUCUCUUUUUCACUUUCCCCCUCUCUGUUGCCCCCUCCUACCUUUUUCUCAGAGUUAGAUUUUGAAAGGGAAGGAGGAGUCAUUUUCUCCAGCCCCUCCUCCACUCCCUCAUCAAUGUACAACAGAGGCUCCUUCUCCUCCCAUUUCUCCGCCUCCUUGCUCCCAGCCACUCCAACUGCCCCAUCAGGCAUCGUCCUCUGCUCCUUUCUUCCGCUUGGAACUCUUCCCGUUCCGGACGCUGGACCCAAAGUACUCGGUGCGGCACUGCCUCUUUCGUCUGACGCCCAGAUAUAUGCAGUAGACCAUUCCCAGGCAUAUAACCCAGACCAGGAGACCGACGAUGAUGACCCAGAACAAGCUGAGCGGACUUCGCUCGACCCUGCCCGCCGUAGAGUCUGGAUCUGUGGAGGUGUGGGUCGUAGCAGGGGUUGUGAAAUGGCUGGGAGUGCUGUUGACUGAUGGGGAGGUGGGUGCAGGGGCAGAAACUGAAAGAGGAAGUACACGUGCUAAGGACUAUUCAACGCUGGUCUGACCAAUCAGAAUCUGGGACAUGUUCCAGGUAGCCUCCGAGAACAACAUAGACGAAUACACUGAUAGGGUGACUGGGAUUAUCAUGAAGUGUAUAGGAGAUGCCGGCCCAGACGGCAUCCCUAGCCGCGUCAUCAGAGC
rnacentral:lncRNA from 1 species